GUGUGACUGCGUACCUUUUGUAUAAUGGGUCAGCGACUUAUAUUCUGUAGCAAGGUUAACCGAAUAGGGGAGCCGAAGGGAAACCGAGUCUUAACUGGGCGUUAAGUUGCAGGGUAUAGACCCGAAACCCGGUGAUCUAGCCAUGGGCAGGUUGAAGGUUGGGUAACACUAACUGGAGGACCGAACCGACUAAUGUUGAAAAAUUAGCGGAUGACUUGUGGCUGGGGGUGAAAGGCCAAUCAAACCGGGAGAUAGCUGGUUCUCCCCGAAAGCUAUUUAGGUAGCGCCUCGUGAAUUCAUCUCCGGGGGUAGAGCACUGUUUCGGCAAGGGGGUCAUCCCGACUUACCAACCCGAUGCAAACUGCGAAUACCGGAGAAUGUUAUCACGGGAGACACACGGCGGGUGCUAACGUCCGUCGUGAAGAGGGAAACAACCCAGACCGCCAGCUAAGGUCCCAAAGUCAUGGUUAAGUGGGAAACGAUGUGGGAAGGCCCAGACAGCCAGGAUGUUGGCUUAGAAGCAGCCAUCAUUUAAAGAAAGCGUAAUAGCUCACUGGUCGAGUCGGCCUGCGCGGAAGAUGUAACGGGGCUAAACCAUGCACCGAAGCUGCGGCAGCGACGCUGAUGCGUUGUUGGGUAGGGGAGCGUUCUGUAAGCCUGCGAAGGUGUGCUGUGAGGCAUGCUGGAGGUAUCAGAAGUGCGAAUGCUGACAUAAGUAACGAUAAAGCGGGUGAAAAGCCCGCUCGCCGGAAGACCAAGGGUUCCUGUCCAACGUUAAUCGGGGCAGGGUGAGUCGACCCCUAAGGCGAGGCCGAAAGGCGUAGUCGAUGGGAAACAGGUUAAUAUUCCUGUACUUGGUGUUACUGCGAAGGGGGGACGGAGAAGGCUAUGUUGGCCGGGCGACGGUUGUCCCGGUUUAAGCGUGUAGGCUGGUUUUCCAGGCAAAUCCGGAAAAUCAAGGCUGAGGCGUGAUGACGAGGCACUACGGUGCUGAAGCAACAAAUGCCCUGCUUCCAGGAAAAGCCUCUAAGCAUCAGGUAACAUCAAAUCGUACCCCAAACCGACACAGGUGGUCAGGUAGAGAAUACCAAGGCGCUUGAGAGAACUCGGGUGAAGGAACUAGGCAAAAUGGUGCCGUAACUUCGGGAGAAGGCACGCUGAUAUGUAGGUGAAGUCCCUCGCGGAUGGAGCUGAAAUCAGUCGAAGAUACCAGCUGGCUGCAACUGUUUAUUAAAAACACAGCACUGUGCAAACACGAAAGUGGACGUAUACGGUGUGACGCCUGCCCGGUGCCGGAAGGUUAAUUGAUGGGGU
rnacentral:rRNA from 1 species